rnacentral:misc_RNA from 1 species
AAAAGAGUGUCGUCAUCUAUCUCUCUCUUUACACUCCUACACACACACAAACACACAGCUCCGCACCAGCUUCACAGUUCGCCUCCACCACCCCCAUACAUGCAUACGUGCGCAUUUGCUUGUGCGCGUGUGUAUGCGUCCCGUCCCUUCUCUCAGACUCUCUCACACCUCUCCCUCACUCCCUCGCACGCGCGCACGCGCAGCCCCCCUCCCCCUUGGCGUUGUGUGUACGUCUGUGCGUCCGCUGUCGUGUCCUCGGUGAGGCGCUUCGGUGGCGUGCAGCUCACUUUCCCGUUCUUCUUUGGUUUUAUCACCACGGGGAGCACAGUGUGUGCGCCGGCGCACACACUGUGCCGUCCUACCCACCCUUCCAUACCCUCUUGUAGUGCACGGACGGACCUGUAGAGAUCGAUGUCCUCGUCGUCCCCGGUGCAGAAGCCCGCCGCACGGCCGCCACCGCUCCACUCCCCGCACUCGCCUUACAACAAGAGCCUGACCCCCGCAUUCGGGGGCAGGUUUGAUAACUACGACGACGCUUCUGCGCGUCGCUCGCAACCACCGCAGCCACAGUCGUCUCAGCCGCAAACUCCACAGCAGCAGCAGUUAAGCACUCUUGAUGGUGACCGGCCGGAUGCAGAUGGUUCAGGAGGAGGGCAGUGGAGCCAGAACACCUCGCGGCCGUCGACGCCGUGCAACGAGAGCCCAUCCAGCCCUAAGGCGAAGCCGAAUGCGGGCUCUGCAGGACUGGCUACUCCGCCCUCAGGCGUCGCGAAGGACGCCCGCCUAGCCUGCCGGCAGUAUCUCGAAGAGGCCUACACGCCGACAUCUGCGUCGGAGGCAGGCGGCGAAAGCGGGCGACCGCAGAAGAAAGAGCUGCGCCUGGAGGACUGCACCGCCAACUUCUCCAACUACCGCACCGUCUUCUCUCCUGCGUACGCGCUGUCCACGGCGACGUCGGUGAGCCUCGACACGGGGUGCACGGAUGGGCGUGACUUCAGCAUCUUCUCCUUCGGCAGCAGCGUGCGUGAUAACUUCGACGCACUGGCCGCUUCGAGCUGUCGCCACGGGCUGCAGAUGGCGCCGAGCAGCACAGCGAUCCCCGAAACCGCUGCGGCGCCGGGGGCCCCGCGCAGUGUUGGCGUGCCGGCGUCGCCGUCACGGGGCUCCCGCAUGUCAAAGUGCAAGCGGUGCCUGCAGAACCUAAACGGCCCGGCGUUUGACCUGAAAGCCGUCCAGGAGGCGCAGCACACUUUUCUCGAGGAGGAGUCGGUGUGCAACGCCGCCCAAGUCUACCCCAUGAGCGACAUCACCUCGCUCCUGGCGGUCGGCUCGUGGAAGGACGCCUCUAAUCCGGAACUGCUCAAGGCGCACAACAUUCGCUACGUCCUCAACGUUGCGAAGGAGCUGAUCCCGACGGAGGAGGCGAAGAUGAUUGCGCAGAACAACGAUAUUGUGUCAGAGUGGAUCCCGAUGAGCGACUCGCACACACAGGAUGUCUCUGAACACCUGAUCAAGGCAUUUCGCUUCAUCGAGCGCGCGCGCAGUGAGCACUCUCGUGUGCUGGUACACUGCCGCCGUGGUAUCUCCCGCAGCGCCGCCAUUAUCGUGGCCUACCUCAUGGCGUCCGAGCACCGCAGCUACGAAGACGCCCUGAAGUUUGUGACGGAGCGGCGGAGCUGCGUUUCGCUGAAUUUGGCGUUCCAGGAGCGUCUGUCCGAGUUUGUGCCCAGCAGCGAGUUCUUCCACGGCCCCCCGACACAGCAGCAGCAGCAGCAGCAGCCUGGUGCUGCCUCUCCGCUCUCCGCAUCCUCUUCCAACGCCCUGCUGCCCACGCUUGCUGGCGUCGCACCGCGUACGGACAGCGCCCACGCCAACCACUCUAGUCAGCCGCAGCCCCUGCAGGGGUCAGACCACCCUCUGCUGCUUCCGCCUGAGUGCCGUAGCGUGACGAGCAGCACCGGCAGCAGCCACGGAAGCAGCCGCGCCAGCAGCGGCGUGCGCGUCGCGCCGUCGCAGAGCCUCGGGCUGCAAAAGGCGGACAAGCAGGCGAGCGUGUUGUGCUCAGCGACCUCCACUGCAGCGCCGGCAUCGACAAGAGCCACCUCUGGCAAGUCGGGCAAGUCGACGUCGCUCGAGAAGGCGUUCAGAUCGCAUGCGCUACCGAAGCAGCAGCAGAGCCGCCGCGGCAGCGCCGCACCGCAAGCGCUUGCUCUUACCGGCACCACAACUCGAUUGUCGGCUCGCUCGGUCGCUGCAGCUGUCACGCCGGGCAUUCAGAGCGCCGAGGACGAGGUGACAGCGACGCCUGCGCCGGAGAGCGUCGGCAGCCGCGACGAUGGCGAUGACGAAAUAGAGGAGCCCUGUUCACCGAUGGGCAUUCACGGCCGCCGUGCCCUUGCGCGGCUCAGCUGUGCGCAAGCAAGCAGCAGCUCGGCAUCUGCCGGGCCGCGGAAGCACCUGCCGCGUACUUAUUCAGCGGAAGAGGAGGUGCUCACCACUACCAUGGCAAUGACAGCCACCGUCACGACUACGCUCAUGCACGCCAACAAGUGUGGUCCCGAUGGGAUGCCCGCGGCAGCGAACGAAGAAGUCGGCGACGGCGAGGUGCGAUGCAGCAGUAGCAGCGCCAACACGAGUGAAAGCCACUUACAUCUCCACCACAGCCCUCGCGCGCCAGCGCAGCGCGGCAGCGCCUUCGACGUCUCGGACGACGAGGCCGACGACAACGGCUCCAUCGCCGGCACCGGCACCUCGCUGUCUUUGCAGAAGAAGAGUCAGCGGAACCCGCGCGUCCGCAAGGCACUUUCCGCCAGCUCGACCGGCGCACCGGCGUCGGAGAACGAGGGCAACAGCAGCGAGGGCAGGCAGGACCUCGCGGCAGGCGAGCGCAACCGCAGCCCCACCGCUACCGGGGGUGGCGAUAUGACGGGUACGGCAGUCGCCAUGGACGGACUUCCAUCCACGCGUUACGGCACUCAGAGCGCAUUCAACGAAGAAGGAGUGGCACCACAGUCACCGACGGCGGUGCACCCAUCCUCUGUCGUGGCCGGGGCCACAUCCCGUGCGUCAAGUCUUAGCGGCUGAAGGCAUGUGGUGAUGGUGAACAGCGCCAACGCAAACGUGGGCACAAGGACGGCGACGACACCGUCAGACGGCUGCUUGAGGGAGCGUCAAGGCGGAUGACGAGUCGCGCUCGCUCCUUUCCGUAGAGCUUCACGGCAGAGUCGGGAAGGGGGAAGGACGAAGAGGAGACAUGGACGAGUGCGCGACCCAUGAAGAGCGGCGGUGUUGACACCGAUGCUGUGAUUGUGCGGAAGGCCUCUCUCGUCGAGGUUCUUCAUGGAUGUCGGCCUUUCAGCUCUGCCGCUUCUCUUUCUCCCCCUUCCUUGUGCUGGUGUGUGCACGUGUCGUCACCAAGUGCGCACAGCGUCUCUUAUCAUUCCUCCAAGCCCCUCCAACCCUCCCCCCUUGCCAUACCCCCCCCUCCCAUCAUCUGGCCUUCAGACAUGUCAGCUCUGCUGCCCCCCCUCCUCAGACACGCGUCCACCCACGCCUCACGGGAAGCCCUUGCUUAUUUCUUUCUCUGCCGCAUGGGGGCCACGCUUGUGGUAUCACGAGCGUGGGUGUCGGUGGGCUGGAUUUGUGUUCUCCCCCACCACACCUCCCCCAUCCUCCCUACUGCUAACAGCCCCAUCACGUUUUGGUUUUCCCUUGCUGCCGCCCUCUUUCCGUUGCGUGCUUGCUUGCCGGAGGCGGAGGAGGAGGGUUGAGGAAGCGCGCAGGCGCACAGGCAAUGAAAAGCGGCCUUCUUGCUUGCCAAUGCGCUCCUUUGCACGUGUGUGCUCAUGGUCCUUCUCACCUGUUUUGUAGUUCUGCCCGCCACCCGCCAUCCCCUCUGCCACGCUCAGCUGCUCCCGAUCUCGCUCUCUCUAUCCAUUGCUAUCCGUCUACGUCGCUGCUACCGUUCUUGCUGUUGCUUGGUGGUAGUGAAGGGCACAUCAUCGUUGCCACGGGCUGGACAGCGUGGUGGUACAUUGACGUGUGUCGUAAUGGUCAAGUCCCACGGGCAUGCCGCCGAAGGAGUGGACGCUGCAUGGCGGCCUCUUCUUUCUGCUGCUUGUUCCUGUGUGUUGCAGGGGUGGAGGGAAGUGGAAACUUCAUGCGGGAAAAUAACACGCCGAGAGAGAUGGUGAUGUGUGCGGUUGUGGUUAGCAUUCAUGCAUUGCGCGUGUGCACUUGUCUAAGGGGCGGGAAGUUUCUGCUCCCUCUUUCCCUCUCUCUCGCUGCUGUUAUGUUACUUGAGCUGCUUUACAUGCCCACACCCCUUUUUUCAUGCCCAGUGCGCGGAGGACUGCAGCACCGACCGCAGCGGUAACGGGUGGGGUGGCGAGGAGGGACGCCAAAGGAGGCCGUGGCAAGAGUGGGCGGGCGCUUCGUAUGCGGGCCCGUGGACUAAACACACGGAGCAUGCGCACCGGCAUGCCCACGCACGCAUCAGCAACGGCAGCAUGGGAGAAAGGCAGACAACUCCUCAUUGCCCUUUUCCCUACCCGACGUACGCUCUCUCGCACUCCGCCCCCGCCCCCGCCCUCCCCUUUCUUCCUCUGCUUCUCCACGGAAAGUCUGUCUGGGGCCCGUCGCGCCGCACGUACACGACGAAGGGAUGAGGGAAGGGACAGGAGGUGUCCGUGAGACGCAUGGCUGGAGUUCACGGUAGACACUUCACUCUAAGACGACCCGGAUGUAGCCGUCGGUGCCGCAGAGGCCAGCGGCGUUGUGGUUGUCAGUGCGUCUCUUUGUUGCCUUGUUUGUGGUCAAAUGAACGCGUCAACAACAGAAAACCCUUCCCAUUAUCCCCCCUCCUCCUCUUUCAUGCCUCCCCUGCCCUGCGCCGUGUGCGGCCGUCACCACCUCACAGCAGUGAAGGUGGUGCCGACCGCUUCGUAGCUCUCUCUCGCGCGCGCCUGGGCGCACCCAUCAUUUUCAUUUUUUCCAUCCGUGGUUUCGUUGCCCUCCCCCCUCCCCCUCCCGUUCUAUCCUCCUCGCUGUGUUGCUUUCCUGUCGCUGCGUGUUUAUGUGUGUGUGUGUGUGUGUGUGUGUGACGAGGGAGCCGAUGGUGAUGGCAGCCAUGUGUGCUCCAUCAGCCAUGCAGCGUGCGUGUGUGUAGAGGCGACUGGGUGAGUGGGUGGGUGGGAAGUUGAUGAGUAAGUCGAUUCUUUUUCUUGUGUCAGCGUAACAGCAGCCGUUGUGGAUCUUGUUGUUUUCGGCUGAGAGCAGAGGGAGCAGAGAACGAAGGGCGAGAAGGGUGUCGCAGGACGACUGCCACAGCUGCGGUUUCGCAUACGCAUGCAGACUGAUGUUCGCUUCGCAUCCAGUGCUCCUCCGGCUCUUUUUUUUUUCGUUGUGGUUGUCAUUCUCUCCCGCUCGCUCUUGUGUGUGUGUGUGUCCGUGUGAGGUAUGGCGUAUGCCUUGUUUACAUGUUUUUGCUGUGUGGUGUUUCGAUGCUCUCUCCGCACACGCACACCCACCCACUCACAUCCACACACACACACACACACACACACUCCCUCUCCCUUCUCUUCAUGUUGAGUUCGCCGCCGCCGCCGCCGCCGCCGCUGCUGCUGCUGCUGCUGCUUGGGAUUUUGAGGGGCGGAGGUGCUCGUGGCUGCCUCGACAUCUUUGCCUGAUGUAGGGUAUCUUGCUGUGCUUCUUAUUGGCAUCUUGCCUUCCGUGCGAAAGGUGGGCGGUGCUCUUAACUUGUGUACGUGCGCGCACACGCGCACGUAUGUUUCUGUUUCUACCCCCAGACACACACACGCACACGCACAACACCCCUUUUCCUUGUUGGUGGCUGCACUGCGGCAGAUGGUUGGAUGCUGAGAAACAGAGGGGCGGGUCCCCAUGUUCUCCCGCCGCCUCUCCUUCCCUCCAUCCACUCCCCUGUUGCUGCUCCUUGUUCGACUCACGUUUAGGUGGGCCUCUUGUGCACUGUCCGACAUCAUCAUUGCAUUUUCUGUUGUGUUUUCUGUUUCUUAUGGUUCACAAGCCCACACGAACACACACACACACACACAAAACGCACGUACGCGUCGGCUCUUCUUCAGAUUCGUAGUCACGCGCUCCUAUGGGUUUGCCUACGCAGAAUGGGGAAAGGGGAGCGAUGCCGCUCUUGACAGCGUCCUCCUCUUCCUCCCUCUCUCUAUCGUGCGUGCGUGCGUGUGUGUGUGUGUGUGUCGCCAUGGCUGCCGACAGCUUGUGGGUCUCCUUUUUUUUCGGGGUUCCCGCCCUUUUUCUCCUUGUGGUGGUGGUGAACUUCCGCUCUCGUUAAGUAUCUGUCCUGCGAGCGCGUGCAGGCGGGCGUGUCAGCGUGUGUGUGUGUGUGUGUGUGUCAGUGCCUCAAAUUGUGGGCUAUGCUUUGGGAGCGUUGUUUCGCAUGCCAUGCGGGCUCGCCGUCACCCUCUCCCUCGAUGUGUGUAAAAUGUGACACCCGUUAUAUUGAUGCGCUCGGUUGUUGCGCAACGAAGCGCUUGCAUGUGUGUGUGUGUGUGUCGGUGUGCGUGUGUGUCGGCGCUCAUAUCUCUUGUUGCUUUCUCAUGUAUGUCCUUCUCUUCUUGCUUGCGUCAUCUGCUGCGAUGGUUGCCGCCCUCGUCGCGGUGGCACCCCAUGCACUUGUGUGUGUGUGAUGGAUGUCUCUCGGAAGCCCUGAAGCGCUGUCGCAUCCCUCGUUGCUCUUUUCUGGCGUGUGCGUGGCGCAUUUUCUUUCGGAGCAUCCUUGUCUUUGUCUCGCCUCGCCCACUGCUGCUUCCGUUGACCUGAUGUGUGAUGCAGCCACCAUCACCGCCCCAUUACGGACGUCAUCCUCCUUUUCGAGGACUGCCCUCGUACUAUUUUUACGCGAUGCCAUCUACCACCUUCACCCCCCCCCUCCCGCCCCACCAAGCUCCCUGUCCUUCGUUUGCCGUUGUCGUCAUCCCUAUGGAUCAUAACCAUCUCUCUCUCUCACUGUCUUCAUAUUUCAUAGCUCGAAUUCGCUUCGUCUUGCCUCGCGUCUGAUCCCUCUCCUCCCAUCCCCUUCCCCAUUCCCCAACGCCAACGCCAACGGCCGCGAACGAUACGAAGGACCGCGUAUCGGCAACGUCAGCGACCAGGCAAACACGAAACAGCAGAGGCUCGCUGGGCCUGCCGAAACGAGAUUUUCGAAGCAACCUUGCCCAUGCCGUGCACCAUGGCGUACACGUUUCUUUCGCGCUGCGUGUGCCGGUGCGCUUCUUCGGCGUUUCGGCCACGGCGGCCGCAAUGCUCCCUGUAGUUUAGGUGUACGCAGAAGCGCACGAGCGUGAGAUGCAGUCAGGUGUGCUGGUGGGUUGGAGCUGAGAGAGUAGUUGGGUCUCUGCGGCUCUGUAUCGACCCUCUGUGCGUGCGAGUCCCGAGCGCCUGCCCCUCCGCUUCCCAUGAUGCUGCUGUUCUCCUCUUCGUCCUGCUCACGUUCUCUCCUCUUUCUCU